CUAUACAUGACUCUGCGCAUAUCAAUAAGCGGAGGAAAAGAAACUAACAAGGAUUCCCUUAGUAACGGCGAGUGAAGCGGGAAGAGCUCAAAUUUGAAAUCUUCAAGGUUUUACCUUGACGAAUUGUAGUUUAAAGAAGUGUUUUCUGUUGGAGUUUUGGUAAAAGUUCUUUGGAAUAGGACAUCAUAGAGGGUGAGAAUCCCGUAUUUGACCAUUAUUUCAGCUGUGUGAUACACUUUCAAAGAGUCGGAUUGUUUGGGAAUGCAGUCCAAAAUGGGUGGUAAAUUUCAUCUAAAGCUAAAUAUUGGCGAGAGACCGAUAGCGAACAAGUACCGUGAGGGAAAGAUGAAAAGAACUUUGAAAAGAGAGUUAAACAGUACGUGAAAUUGUCAAAAGGGAAGCGUUUGACACCAGUGUUGUUUUCUCGAAAAUCAAUUAAAAAUGAUGGGAUUUUGUGUUGUAUUGACUUUAUCAGCUUUCUGCACUUUUUUCUUAUCUUUUUUAAUGCACUUUUCGUUUAACAAGUCAACAUCAAUUUCUUUUGUUGUAAAAGAGUCAUUGGAAGGUGGCUUUUUCUUCGGAAAAAGUGUUUAUAGCCUUUGGCUUCUGCAAUCGGAGAGAUUGAGGUCUGCAGCGUAGAUCCUUCGGGGUUAGAUACAUUUGUGCUAAGCUAUAGUUCUUUAUAGACAACUUGUUGACUAUAAUCAAUCCUGUAACUUACUCGCUUAUGCUAUUUUACCUACGCUUAGGAUGUUGACACACACGCGUGCUCG
rnacentral:rRNA from 1 species